rnacentral:rRNA from 1 species
AGCAGCCGCGGUAAUUCCAGCUCCAAUAGCGUAUAUUAAAGUUGCUGCAGUUAAAAAGCUCGUAGUUGAAUUUCGGGACCAAUAUGUUGGUCGUGCCUCGGUACGUACUGAUAUUUUUGGUUUCUCCCUUCUGACGAACCUUGAUGUCAUUAAUUUGGUGUCUUGGGAAAUCAGGACUGUUACUUUGAAAAAAUUAGAGUGUUUAAAGCAGGCUCACGCUUGAAUACAUUAGCAUGGAAUAAUGAAAUAGGACGUUUGAUUCUAUUUUGUUGGUUUCUAGGAUCGACGUAAUGAUUAAUAGGGAUAGUUGGGGGCAUUAGUAUUCAAUUGUCAGAGGUGAAAUUCUUGGAUUUAUUGAAGACUAACUACUGCGAAAGCAUUUGCCAAGGAUGUUUUCAUUAAUCAAGAACGAAAGUUAGGGGAUCGAAGACGAUCAGAUACCGUCGUAGUCUUAACCAUAAACUAUGCCGACUAGGGAUCGGAUGAUGUUAAUUUUUUAAAUGACUCA